GACGAACGCUGGCGGCGUGCUUAACACAUGCAAGUCGAACGGAAAGGCCCUGCUUUUGUUGGGUGCUCGAGUGGCGAACGGGUGAGUAACACGUGAGUAACCUGCCCUUGACUUUGGGAUAACUUCAGGAAACUGGGGCUAAUACCCGAUAGGAGCUCCUGCUGCAUGGUGGGGGUUGGAAAGUUUCGGCGGUUGGGGAUGGACUCGCGGCUUAUCAGCUUGUUGGUGGGGUAGUGGCUUACCAAGGCUUUGACGGGUAGCCGGCCUGAGAGGGUGACCGGGCACAUUGGGACUGAGGUACGGCCCAGACUCCUACGGGAGGCAGCAGUGGGGAAUAUUGCACAAUGGGCGGAAGCCUGAUGCAGCAACGCCGCGUGCGGGAUGACGGCCUUCGGGUUGUAAACCGCUUUCGCCUGUGACGAAGCGUGAGUGACGGUAAUGGGUAAAGAAGCACCGGCUAACUACGUG
rnacentral:rRNA from 1 species